GAUGAACGCUAGCGGCAGGCCUAAUACAUGCAAGUCGAACGGGUGGUCGCAAGACCACUAGUGGCGCACGGGUGCGUAACGCGUAACCAACCUGCCCCGAUCUGGGGGAUAGCCCGCCGAAAGGCGGAGUAAUACCGCAUAUACCCGCAGCCUGGCAUCAGGCAACGGGGAAAGAUUUAUUGGAUCGGGAUGGGGUUGCGUGACAUUAGCUAGUUGGCGGGGUAAGGGCACACCAAGGCGACGAUGCCUAGGGGACCUGAGAGGGUCCUCCCCCACACUGGCACUGAGAUACGGGCCCGACUCCUACGGGAGGCAGCAGUAGGGACUCUUGGGCCAUGGGCGAGAGCCUGCCCCAGCCAUGCCGCGUGCCGGAUGAAGGCCUUCUGGGUUGUAAACGGCUUUUCUCAGGGAAGAAAAAGACCUUGCGAGGUACACUGACGGUACCUGAGGAAUAAGCACCGGCUAACUCCGUG
rnacentral:rRNA from 1 species